ACAUGUUUGGGAUUACGCGUACAAGCUGCGUAUGUCUUGCAAGCCCAUUGCGUGAGAGUGAAGGAGGUUGAUUAAAAUUGAAUAUUGCAAAGAGGACCUCCACACUAAGCAGAUCGUGAUGCGAGAGAUGUAGUCUUGGAGACAAUCUGUAUUUAUAGAAUUAAUGGUCUGCUCUACAGCUAACAUCAUUCAAAAAGAGAACUUACUUCGUUCUAGGUUAUAAUAGUUGCCGGCUAAAGGAGCAGCGUGAAUGAUGUGCAGACCCACCAUGUUAAAAUAUUAGACGGAUCCUGCAGCGCCAAGACGCAAAAUAUUUUUAGUACGUACGGCCUUCCUAUAGGCAUAGAUGCCACGAUUCGACGCUGCCGUGGUGUAGGCCUUGUAAAUAUCAUAUUAAUC
rnacentral:sRNA from 1 species